rnacentral:rRNA from 1 species
UACGUAGGGGGCAAGCGUUAUCCGGAUUCACUGGGUGUAAAGGGAGCGUAGACGGCGACGCAAGUCUGGAGUGAAAGCCCGGGGCCCAACCCCGGGACUGCUCUGGAAACUGCGGCGCUGGAGUACGGGAGGGGCAGGCGGAAUUCCUGGUGUAGCGGUGAAAUGCGUAGAUAUCAGGAGGAACACCGGCGGCGAAGGCGGCCUGCUGGACCGUGACUGACGUUGAGGCUCGAGAGCGUUGGGAGCAAACAGG